rnacentral:rRNA from 1 species
UACGUAGGGAGCAAGCGUUGUUCGGAUUUACUGGGCGUAAAGGGCGCGUAGGCGGCAUAUUAAGUCAUCUGUGAAAUCUCCGAGCUUAACUCGGAACUGUCAGCUGAUACUGAUGUGCUAGAGUGCGGAAGGGGCAAUCGGAAUUCUUGGUGUAGCGGUGAAAUGCGUAGAUAUCAAGAGGAACACCUGAGGUGAAGACGGGUUGCUGGGCUGACACUGACGCUGAGUGCGCGAAAGCCAGGGGAGCAAACGGG